rfam:Bradyrhizobium sp. AS23.2 Bradyrhizobium_AS_23.2_c54, whole genome shotgun sequence.
GCGGGAUCAAGCAGACUCCCGGCGAGACUUCGGUCCAAGCUCUGC